rnacentral:lncRNA from 1 species
ACGCUGCAGGGCCGCCCUCUCCCACUCCUUGUUUCCAGGGGUCAAUGCCUGGAGGGGGUGUCCCCAGGAGAGGAGGGUGACCCCAUGCAGCCUCCCCGAGACCCCAGCACUCUUGGAGCCCCACUCCUCGGGGUGUACUCACAGGUGCCAGGCUCCCAUUCCCUUUCCUGGGAUCCCAGAUGGCUCAGAGUUGAGUCCUUACGGCCUGAGACUGGGGACUUCUGGGAACAGACCUGCCUGGAUAAAUUCUGCCAGGAGUGAUGGGUGCUCCCCAGGGUCCUCUGCAGCCUCCCUGCCCUGCAUCCCCGAGCCCCGGGGCCUAUUUCCUCCCACACUGCCCUGCAAGCUCCCACACUGAGGGGGUGCUCUCCAAAAUGGGGCUGGGGCCCUGGAUGAUGAGCGUGCUGGCCGGAGAGGAAGACAGUGAGGAGAGGGGGGAGUCCAUGGGGCUGGCCUCCCAGAGGCCCGCCAGCUCCCGUGCACACUUCAGAGAUAAGGCCAGGGCGCUGCUGACAACCCCUGCUCCAUUUUCCCGAAGUUCUAGGAAACUCCAUUUUGGACACUUUCUGUUCUUUAUGUUUCAAUCCAGCCAAGCCCCGGAGUAGCUUCCCAAAGACCCAGAGGAACGGGAACUCAGCGUCAGUACUCAGAGUGAAACCUGCUUUUGAAAUACGUCAAUGACGGCAACAGGCCUCCCUUGUCCCCACCUGGCUGGGGUGGGGAGCCCCGCCAGGCCAGCUGUCAGCUCCCCAACCCCAUCUGCCAGGGCCGAGGGGGUCGGGCCGGUGAGGACCAGGCGGGGGCACAGCCAUGUGCAGCCUGGUGGGGAGGGGACUUACUCUCUACUUUCUCCUCCUCUUUUUUUUGACUCUCCCAGAGGAGUUGAGUUGUUUUCUGUAGUUGUGAGAAGCCCAUGCCCUGGGUCUGCAGGCUGUGCAGGGCUGCGAGGUGGCCCUCGCCGCUCCGUCUGACGUACUAUGGGUUUGGCCUGUAGAUGCUGUGAGAUGCAAUAGUCGGGUUAGCGCCGUGUCCGU